ACCGUCUGGAGCGUGGGAGGCCGGCUGGCAUUUGCAGCACACUAGUCAGUUCACAGCUUCUGUGAUUCCUCCGCUUUCGCCGCCAAACAAAGCAGUCCUGUGAGCAUCAGACAACAAUAGGGCCCUUCAGGGCGGGAGAAAGGGUCCUUUGAUGCCGCCUGCUGGGGACCUCCGUCCGUGAAGGGACCCUCCGUGUCCUGGGAGUCCGGGGCUGUGGGAAGAUGGGGGCUGUGACAAGGACAGGAUUGGGGUGGCCAUCGGGACGGCUUGUAGCUGCAACUGGGUGUGCGGGGUCCCUACAGGGACUGCAGGUGGGGGCCCGGCCCAGGCGGGGGGCUGUUCGGAGGUGGCCCGAGGAGGCACCGUCCCCAGUGUGAGCCAACCUGGCAGCGGCCACCGGGAAGUCGAAGCCUGUCUUUUCACUGGAAUUUCUGCUGCUGGCGGCACAGGUGGUGUCCCAGGGGAGGGGGAAGGUGGGGGGGGGCAGCCUCACCUUGAACCUUGUGGUGGCUCCCACCCCCCAGCCUGAGGUUGACCUUGCUUGUCACUGUCCCCUUCUGAAUUCCUGGGUUUCUUUCUUCUCUAAUUAGUGGGUGGGCUGGGGAGGGAGGGGGAGGCCUCAGGGAUACAUGGGGGGGGAAAUCUAUGACUGGAGCUGGGGGGGCUCCUGUGCAGCCUGGAGUGGGUGGCAGCUCUGCUCAGGGCUGAGUGACAGGGAGGGGACAUGGCCCUAUGCCGUGGGGGAGGGGUGGCAAGUUGGGGGAAGGGCACAGAGUGGAAUAUGCCCCCUCACCUCCCCACUCCUGCCGUGGGCGUCUUCUAGGGCAGCGAGUCCCUCCAGAGUGUGCGCCGAGUCUGGGACUUCUCCCCCCUUCCCUGAGGUCUCGGCUCUCAGACCCCUGCUCCUCUCCUGGUCUCUCUCAGGCACCAACGUGAUCUCACAAAAAUCAGGUCAUGUUGUGUCUCGGCCCAAAGCCUGCUGUGCCUCCCUCUGUGGGUGGCCACACGCCUUCCUUCUCCGCAAGGCCAGGGGACCCGCAGCUGCCUCCUGUCCCACUCGCUCUGCUCCUGCCCGCUGGCCCAGCAGCAAGCCUGCUCUCACCUCAGGGCCUUUGCACCUGCCAUUCUCUCUGCUCUGUCCCCAUCUGCGUGCUCCCCUCUCUUACUGCAUCUGGGUGGGGGAGGACACCCCAACACAUGUCCAUAUACCCUGCUGCCUUCUCCCACCCUCUCUGCCUCAUUCUGCCCCCCCUUCUCGCAUUUGGUCUUGUCUUGCAUUAUAUUAUAUAUCUGUGUGCCGCUCACUUGCUCUCCCCUCCUGCACUAGACCGUGAGCUAUAGUGCACUUAGCACGGCAAGGGUGCCCCAUAGCCAUCUGUUGGAGGAAUGAAUGAUGGGAAAGCAGAUUCCCUGGGAAGAGAAUGCGCGAGGCAGGGGUCGGAUCACAGAGGGCGGGGGUGCUCAGCCCUGGCUGCACCUCAGCCUCACCUGCACACUUUCCAAAGACACCCGGCCCGGGCCCCAGGGAUGACGCUUGAAUGGGCUGGGCUGACCCUGGCCCUCAGGCAGUGCUGACCUGCAGCUUGAAGAACCCCAGUGCUGGGCCUUGGCUAGGAUGGUUCGGUGUCUGUUCUUUAGGCUGAGGGCAGUGGAGCAGGUGGCACAACAGGAUUUGGGGUUUUCUGGUUACGCUCAGGGGGUAAUCUGAGGGGAGCAGGAGUGGAGGCGGGGCCUAUUCGGAGGUGCUGCUGUGGGGAAGGGGGGCGCCCUCCUUCCUUCCGCAUUCCCAGGGCUGAGCACGCUUCCAGGCACAGAGCUGGUGUGCCGAGUGAACACGGCCUCGCUGACGCAUGGAGUCCCAUCUUCUUCUUCAUGUAGAAAUCCCCAAACCAGCUGCUCGAAGUGUGGCCACCUGCCAGCACCUGGGAGCAUGUGACAUGUGCACAUUCUCAGACUCUGUCCCCGACCCGACUUACUAAAUCAGAACCUUUGGGUGGUGGGUCCAGCAGGAUAGUCUCUUUUAAUAAGUCUUCUGGCAGAAACGAAUCUGACUAGGAACCAUGAGGUUGCAGGUUUGAUCCCUGGCCUCGCUCAGUGGAUUAAGGAUCCAGCGUUGCCAUGAGCUGUGGUGUAGGUCGGAGACGUGGCUCGGAUCCCACGUUGCUGUGGUUGUGGCGAAGGCCGGCAGCAGCAGCUCCGAUUGGACCCCUAGCCUGGGAACCUCCAUAUGCCAUGG
rnacentral:lncRNA from 1 species